UACGAAGGGGGCUAGCGUUGCUCGGAAUCACUGGGCUUAAAGGGCGCGUAGGCGGGCUGUCAAGUCUGGGGUGAAAUGCCGCGGCUCAACCGUGGAACUGCCUCAGAUACUGACGGCCUCGAGGAAGGUAGGGGCAUGCGGAACUGUAGGUGGAGCGGUGAAAUGCGUUGAUAUCUACAGGAACUCCGGUGGCGAAAGCGGCGUGCUGGACCUUUUCUGACGCUGAGGCGCGAAAGCUAGGGGAGCAAACGGG
rnacentral:rRNA from 1 species